UGACGUCACCGCAGUGCAGCUUCUAGUAGCUUUUCGCAGCGUUUCCAACCGCCGGGCGCGGUGGCGCGUGCCUGUAGUCCCAGCUACUAGGGAGGCUGAGGUGGGAGGAUCGCUUGAGCCCAGGAGUUCUGGGCUGUAGUGCGCUAUGCCGAUCGGGUGUCCGCACUAAGUUCGGCAUCAAUAUGGUGACCUCCCGGGAGCGGGGGACCACCAGGUUGCCUAAGGAGGGGUGAACCGGCCCAGGUCGGAAACGGAGCAGGUCAAAACUCCCGUGCUGAUCAGUAGUGGGAUCGCGCCUGUGAAUAGCCACUGCACUCCAGCCUGGGCAACAUAGCGAGACCCUGUCUCUUUUGCCCUCCUCGCUCACUAAGGGUACCUUUCGUUAAAACCCACCAGUUGACGGGAUGCUCGGGGACUUGCAACCACCUCAUCGCUGCCCCCUACCGGCGCAUCUUCAAAACGUCUCUGCGAAAAGCUGUUAUUACUCUCGGAGCCAACAGGGGCUGCUCGUUUACCCACAGCCAGUCGGAAAAAAUGGCCGCCGGACCGCAGAGAGCAAAAAGUACGUUCUCUUUAAGAAUUUCCAAGAUAUUCCCACGGCGGUCCAGGAUGCUGCUUGCAGUUACCAACACUAUUCCCCUGCACUGAGCUGACCUGAGCUUCCCUCCCUACCUCCUGUCACGGAUGUCACCUUCUUUCACCUCUGUCCUGUCAAGGUUUUUGCUUUAGAAUGCUAUCGACCAAAGACGGGCUGAUCUAGUCUUUCACACAAAUCUUUCGUUCUACUUUCCUACAAGCAGGGCUAACUUUCCGACGAGGAACCCCACUACUGCCUCCUUAUAAGGGAAAAACUCGUCUCAGAGGAACCCAUAACAUCCUGUGAUGACAGAGGUGAGGGGCCAGCGUGGCAGAAUGCAUCACCUUGUCUCCCUGCUCGCUUCGCUCUCCGUCGGAUUGCCAAAAGUUCACUGCAUUUUGAACAAGGACAACUGUCAGAGAAGAUCCUGUUUGAAUCGAGCAGAUAUCUCCCCCAUGGCUGCUUCUGGGUCUGCCCUCUGCAACCACGUGGAAUAAGUCUUAUUCCAGUUCUAGAGGACAACUUUUCAAGAAUUAAAAAAAUCACCUCCAAAUGAAUGCAUUUUUACUAAAUGAAAAUAGCUAGAGAUGCUAUUUUUUAAAAAAAAAAAACAAACAACUUUACCUUCUCACCAACCUUAAAAUAAGAAGCAAAAUA